UACGAAGGGGGCUAGCGUUGCUCGGAAUCACUGGGCGUAAAGCGCACGUAGGCGGGUUGUUAAGUCGGGGGUGAAAUCCUGGAGCUCAACUCCAGAACUGCCUUCGAUACUGGCGACCUCGAGUCCGGGAGAGGUGAGUGGAACUCCGAGUGUAGAGGUGAAAUUCGUAGAUAUUCGGAAGAACACCAGUGGCGAAGGCGGCUCACUGGCCCGGUACUGACGCUGAGGUGCGAAAGCGUGGGGAGCAAACAGG
rnacentral:rRNA from 1 species